rnacentral:rRNA from 1 species
UGCUUACCUGCAGUCGAACGGAAAGGCCCUUCGGGGUACUCGAGUGGCGAACGGGUGAGUAACACGUGGGUGAUCUGCCCUGCACUUUGGGAUAAGCCUGGGAAACUGGGUCUAAUACCGAAUAUGAUCAUCGGCUUCAUGGUCGGUGGUGGAAAGCUUUUGCGGUGUGGGAUGGGCCCGCGGCCUAUCAGCUUGUUGGUGGGGUAAUGGCCUACCAAGGCGACGACGGGUAGCCGGCCUGAGAGGGUGACCGGCCACACUGGGACUGAGAUACGGCCCAGACUCCUACGGGAGGCAGCAGUGGGGAAUAUUGCACAAUGGGCGCAAGCCUGAUGCAGCGACGCCGCGUGAGGGAUGACGGCCUUCGGGUUGUAAACCUCUUUCAAUAGGGACGAAGCGCAAGUGACGGUACCUAUAGAAGAAGGACCGGCCAACUACGUGCCAGCAGCCGCGGUAAUACGUAGGGUCCGAGCGUUGUCCGGAAUUACUGGGCGUAAAGAGCUCGUAGGUGGUUUGUCGCGUUGUUCGUGAAAACUCACAGCUUAACUGUGGGCGUGCGGGCGAUACGGGCAGACUGGAGUACUGCAGGGGAGACUGGAAUUCCUGGUGUAGCGGUGGAAUGCGCAGAUAUCAGGAGGAACACCGGUGGCGAAGGCGGGUCUCUGGGCAGUAACUGACGCUGAGGAGCGAAAGCGUGGGGAGCGAACAGGAUUAGAUACCCUGGUAGUCCACGCCGUAAACGGUGGGUACUAGGUGUGGGUUUCCUUCCUUGGGAUCCGUGCCGUAGCUAACGCAUUAAGUACCCCGCCUGGGGAGUACGGCCGCAAGGCUAAAACUCAAAGGAAUUGACGGGGGCCCGCACAAGCGGCGGAGCAUGUGGAUUAAUUCGAUGCAACGCGAAGAACCUUACCUGGGUUUGACAUGCACAGGACGACUGCAGAGAUGUGGUUUCCCUUGUGGCCUGUGUGCAGGUGGUGCAUGGCUGUCCUCAGCUCGUGUCGUGAAAUGUUGGGUUAAGUCCCGCAACGAGCGCACCCUUGUCCUAUGUUGC